rnacentral:rRNA from 1 species
AGAGCGAACGCUGGCGGCAGGCCUAAUACAUGCAAGUCGAACGGAUCCUUCGGGAUUAGUGGCGGACGGGUGAGUAACACGUGGGAACGUGCCCUUUGGUUCGGAACAACUCAGGGAAACUUGAGCUAAUACCGGAUGUGCCCUUCGGGGGAAAGAUUUAUCGCCAUUGGAGCGGCCCGCGUCUGAUUAGCUAGUUGGUGAGGUAAAGGCUCACCAAGGCUUCGAUCAGUAGCUGGUCUGAGAGGAUGAUCAGCCACACUGGGACUGAGACACGGCCCAGACUCCCCUACGGGAGGCAGCAGUGGGGAAUAUUGGACAAUGGGCGCAAGCCUGAUCCAGCAAUGCCGCGUGGGUGAAGGAAGGUCUUCGGAUUGUAAAGCCCUUUCGGCGGGGACGAUGAUGACGGUACCCGCAGAAGAAGCCCCGGCUAACUUCGUGCCAGCAGCCGC